rnacentral:rRNA from 1 species
UGGGCGUUAAGUUGCAGGGUAUAGACCCGAAACCCGGUGAUCUAGCCAUGGGCAGGUUGAAGGUUGGGUAACACUAACUGGAGGACCGAACCGACUAAUGUUGAAAAAUUAGCGGAUGACCUGUGGCUGGGGGUGAAAGGCCAAUCAAACCGGGAGAUAGCUGGUUCUCCCCGAAAGCUAUUUAGGUAGCGCCUCGUGAAUUCAUCUCCGGGGGUAGAGCACUGUUUCGGCUAGGGGGCCAUCCCGGCUUACCAACCCGAUGCAAACUGCGAAUACCGGAGAAUGUUAUCACGGGAGACACACGGCGGGUGCUAACGUCCGUCGUGAAGAGGGAAACAACCCAGACCGCCAGCUAAGGUCCCAAAGUCAUGGUUAAGUGGGAAACGAUGUGGGAAGGCCCAGACAGCCAGGAUGUUGGCUUAGAAGCAGCCAUCAUUUAAAGAAAGCGUAAUAGCUCACUGGUCGAGUCGGCCUGCGCGGAAGAUGUAACGGGGCUAAACCAUGCACCGAAGCUGCGGCAGCGACACUGUGUGUUGUUGGGUAGGGGAGCGUUCUGUAAGCCUGCGAAGGUGGCCUGUGAGGGUUGCUGGAGGUAUCAGAAGUGCGAAUGCUGACAUAAGUAACGAUAAAGCGGGUGAAAAGCCCGCUCGCCGGAAGACCAAGGGUUCCUGUCCAACGUUAAUCGGGGCAGGGUGAGUCGACCCCUAAGGCGAGGCCGA